UGGAAACACGUGACUUGAUAUUCUUCAUA
rnacentral:piRNA from 1 species